UUUCCGUAGGUAUGUAAACAUCAAUUCUCUGGUUUGACGAUUAGAUGCUAACGAUUAUAGGUGAACCUGCGGAAGGAUCAUUACCGAGUUAUCCUGUAUUCUCAGGAACUCCCACCCUUGUGAUGAUGGCGUUGCUUCGGCGAGACGCUGGAAACAGUCAUUGGUGGCGACCGGUCUUCGGACCGGCAGUCCCAAUGUGAGCUCGUCGGGGUCUUCAUACUCUAUAUUAUGCACUGUCAGAGCAAACAAGCAAUAUAUAAAAACUUUCAACAACGGAUCUCUUGGCUCUC
rnacentral:misc_RNA from 1 species